rnacentral:rRNA from 1 species
CAAGUCGAGCGAACAGACGAGGAGCUUGCUCCUCUGACGUUAGCGGCGGACGGGUGAGUAACACGUGGAUAACCUACCUAUAAGACUGGGAUAACUUCGGGAAACCGGAGCUAAUACCGGAUAAUAUAUUGAACCGCAUGGUUCAAUAGUGAAAGACGGUUUUGCUGUCACUUAUAGAUGGAUCCGCGCCGCAUUAGCUAGUUGGUAAGGUAACGGCUUACCAAGGCAACGAUGCGUAGCCGACCUGAGAGGGUGAUCGGCCACACUGGAACUGAGACACGGUCCAGACUCCUACGGGAGGCAGCAGUAGGGAAUCUUCCGCAAUGGGCGAAAGCCUGACGGAGCAACGCCGCGUGAGUGAUGAAGGUCUUCGGAUCGUAAAACUCUGUUAUUAGGGAAGAACAAAUGUGUAAGUAACUAUGCACGUCUUGACGGUACCUAAUCAGAAAGCCACGGCUAACUACGUGCCAGCAGCCGCGGUAAUACGUAGGUGGCAAGCGUUAUCCGGAAUUAUUGGGCGUAAAGCGCGCGUAGGCGGUUUUUUAAGUCUGAUGUGAAAGCCCACGGCUCAACCGUGGAGGGUCAUUGGAAACUGGAAAACUUGAGUGCAGAAGAGGAAAGUGGAAUUCCAUGUGUAGCGGUGAAAUGCGCAGAGAUAUGGAGGAACACCAGUGGCGAAGGCGACUUUCUGGUCUGUAACUGACGCUGAUGUGCGAAAGCGUGGGGAUCAAA